CUGUCAUCUCGCUCCUUUGCCUUGCAAACCAUUGAUUGGCAGAAGACAAAACACAGGCUAACAGCUGACCUGGAGACCUGUUUUUAAAGUCCCUGGGCCUGGCCCAGCAGGUGACAGUUGGCUGGGCUUGCACCACCCUCUUGCCUCUCCUUUUGUGGAUGGCUGGACAUUGCAGCCCUGGGGUGUUCAGUUCCUCUACACGCUGCGGGCACAGGGGACCCACCUCCCGGAGGCAGCGCCCACAGCCGGUAGCGGACCAGGCCAGCAAAAGAUGGUUCAGGCUGCAGCACAGCAUCCUCGCCGCCUGGCCCCCUCUGGGGACCAACAGAGGCAGAGGCCAGGCCCCUCCUCUUAAGAACUGGAGAAGCCGGAGGUCCCGAUGUAGCUCAGUGGGUUAAGAACCCAACUAGUAUCCAUGAGCAUGUGGGUUCGUUCGAUCCCUGGCCACGCUCAGUGGGUGAAGAAUCCAGCGUUGCCGUGAGCUGCGGUAUAGGUGGCAGAUGCAGCUCGGAUCUGGCAUGGCUGUGGCUGUGGUGUAGGUGGCAGUCGCGGCUUGGAUCCUGUGUGGCUGCGGCUGUGGCUGGGGUGUGGGCCGGCAGCUACUGCUCUGAUUCGACCCCUGGCCUGAGAACCUCCAUAUGCCUCAGGUGUGGCCAUAAAAAACAAAAACAAACAAAAAGAAUUGGAGGAGCCAAGAGCAGAGUAGAGGAAAGUCAGCAGUGGGGACCUUUUCCGUCCAGAACAAGACGAGCACGUGUACGGGUCACAUAGAAUUUUUGCAUCCAAGCAUGAAGCUUCCAGAAGCUCGUCCACAGGCCGUGGAUUGAGAACCCAGCCUUGGCUUACCCCAACAGGGAGUCUGAUGUCAAAGCAGCCCUUGGUGGCACCCAGAGAUACAAUUCAGUUCCAGCAGGCAAGGAGACCAGCUCUGCGGCGGUUCUUCCUGAGACGAGCCGAGACCCUCCGAAAGGCAAUGGCCACUGUAGAGAGGUCUACUCGUGGGCAGACACAGGCAGAGGUGGUGGGAGAAAGCGCCCAUGGCCCACAGCCGAUCCUGGACACACCAAAUGUAUUGUGGACUCCUGCAGAGAAAGGCCAUAGAACGAAAUGCCAUUGAAAAACUCAAAACCUAUCCAUCUUUCAACCACCCCCUGAGGAAGUCAAGGCCAAUAUUCUUGGCCCCAUUAAGAGGUUAUGACCAGGAGUUCCCGUCAUGGCUCAGUGGUUAACGAAUCCGACUAGGAACCUCGAGGUUGCGGGUUCGAUCCCUGGCCUCGCUCAGUGGGUUAAGUCUCCGGCGUGGCCGUGAGCUGUGGUGUAGGGCACAGACGAGACUCAGAUCCGGCGUUGCUGUGACUGUGGUGUAGGCCGGCAGCUGUAGCUCUGAUUAGACCCCUAGCCUGGGAACCUCCAUAUGCCGAGGGUGCGGCCUAGAAAAGACCAAAAAAAAAAAAAAAAAAGAUGAGUUUAUGACAAGGAGUUCCCACUGUGGUGCAGCAAGUUAAGAAUCUGCUCAGGUGGCUGUGGAGGUGCAGGUUUGAUCCCAGGCCAGUGCAGUGGGUUAAAGAUCUGGUGUUGCUGCAGCUGCGGGAUAGGUUGCAGCUCCAGCUUGGAUUUGGUCUCUGGCCUGGGAACUUCCAUAUACAGCAGGUACAGCCAUUUAAAAAAAAAAAAAAAAAAAAAAAAAAAAGAGGUUACAACAAAAAAAGGAGGGUUCAAAGAACUGAAGCAAUGCCUGACAGACAUGUUGAUGGACAGUGGCAGGGCUAGA
rnacentral:lncRNA from 1 species